ensembl:lncRNA novel transcript, antisense to PITPNC1
CCUUAGAGCACCAUGAUAUGAGGAGGCCCAAGCUAGCCAUGUGGUGAGACCAUGUGGCAACAUGCUCAACCAGGUCUCAGAUGCUCCAGCCAUCUCAGCUGAGACCACGUUGAGUGAAAGGGCCAUCUGAGAUAUUUCAAUCCAAGCUCACAUCAUGAAGAGCAGAUCUGGCCAGCUAAACCCAGUCAAGAGUGCAGAAUUGUGAGAAACAAUGCACUCUCAUUGUUUUAAGCCACUAAAUUUUGGGGCUGUUGCUCAGCAACAGGUAACAAAACACAUCCAUCAAGCAUAUUAUAAAACAGGUGCAUUAACUGGAUUACCAAAGAUGAAGAGAAUGAAUGCUGCUUUGUUCUUUCCCAGAGCACACCAAAAGUUCACACAAUCAGCCACAAGCCUGAAAGCUGAAAACAAGGAAAUUUAUACCUCUCAAGAAGCUCUCAUGAGUUAAAAUACAGGAGGUGGAGUUAAACAGGGAAAUUUGGUUUCUUUCCCCAUCUGUCUUUUGACUUCCUCCCAACAGAGGUAAAUGAUGGGUGUUUACCUCUGAUAGUUGCACGUAAACAACUAUCUUGAGGCUUAGAAGACAUGGCUUCCCCCCUGCAGUUGACCAGAAUAUGGACAGGCAAACCCUCGAGAACCUAAGUGGAGGUCUUCCUGCUUGGGUCCUGCACAGUGGGUCUGACUGAGCAAGAGGAACCUGGACCAGUUGGCUGUGCCCGACCUUGCCCUCCCUCCCUGAUUCAUGGAC